AGAUCCAAGACGUUGGUGCAACUCUAGAAUUUAGUCCUUAUUUUUGGAACUUGAUUGCAAAUGUCUUAUAUCCAGAGUCACCAGCAGGUGUCUGCUUCUCCUACUCUGAUGACAAGAAGUAAACUACCAAUGACACAGAGCUUGUGGAAUGACCUGCAGAAAUUUUGCUGCAAAGAUGGAGUGUGUAACUUCUACAAUAACCAGGAUGUGAACUGCUUGUGUUGUCUCACUACAGUUCAAGUUAUAGUCUACCAGUCUGGACUGAACAUGUUUAACCUAUAAGGAGUUCAGCAGAGAGUCAGGUGAGCUUGGAUCAGUUAUGUGGAGUAACUGUUCAAUGUCAGUUCAUAUGCUAUGCUAAUAUUGCUCUUCUGUUCUGAAACCAGCAUUGAAAAUGGCCAGUUUGUGAUCCGAGACCUGGGCCAUCACUUCGUGAACCAUCCUUACUCCAAAGCACAGAACGAGGUAGAGAAACCAAUUCAUGUGCUGCUUUGGACUACAAACUUCACUCGAAACGAAAACCAAAACUGUCCCUCGCUCAUUACUAACCUCAGUUUGUUGUCUCAAAGCUGUAAACACAAGAUUAUGUUUUAGCUAUUUUGAUGCUCAUUUUCACACGAUGAAAGUUAUACUUUUGAUUUUAAUACAUUGAAUAUAUAUCGCCAUUCAUGGCAGCGCUUUCAUUUUAUUUGCAUAUUCAAAUUCUGCCUGGUU